rnacentral:rRNA from 1 species
UACGUAGGGUGCAAGCGUUGUCCGGAAUUAUUGGGCGUAAAGAGCUCGUAGGCGGUUUGUCGCGUCGGUUGUGAAAGCCCGGGGCUUAACCCUGGGUCUGCAGUCGAUACGGGCAGGCUAGAGUUCGGCAGGGGAGACUGGAAUUCCUGGUGUAGCGGUGAAAUGCGCAGAUAUCAGGAGGAACACCGGUGGCGAAGGCGGGUCUCUGGGCCGAUACUGACGCUGAGGAGCGAAAGCGUGGGGAGCGAACAGG